GCCUUCUCAGGGUCACACCCGGAGAAUUUCCAGUACUCUACCAGUCUCGACAGUGGGAGGGAGAGUCAAGCAGAGGCCUGUCCAUUCCAUUCCUAGCUCGGCCAGUGGCUAGCGAGUGGAAGACAACCUGCUACAUUG